AAGUCAGCCAAUUCUGCUUCUCUGAAUGUUCUUCCUCAGAAAUUUAGAAAAAGCUGGCAAUAGUGAUGCCAUGUUAUGAGCCUUAAGGACAACUGAGGUCAUUAAGGUCCCUGAAAAUGGCUGCAGUG